GUGUGCAACUUCUCGGUCUGCAUGCGCCUAAUCACGAGGGAUCUCGGAAGCGAAGCAGAGUCGAGCGCAGUUAGUGCUUGGAUGGGAGAUCACCGCUGAAAGCUGGUUCAUGUAGGCU
rnacentral:rRNA from 1 species